GACAGAGGGUGCAAGCGUUGUCCGGAUUUACUGGGCGUAAAGAGCGCGCAGGCGGUCGUUCAAGUCGAGUGUGAAAGCCCCCGGCUCAACUGGGGAGGGUCAUUCGAUACUGAUCGACUCGAAGGCAGGAGAGGGUAGUGGAAUUCCCGGUGUAGUGGUGAAAUGCGUAGAUAUCGGGAGGAACACCAGUGGCGAAGGCGACUACCUGGCCUGUUCUUGACGCUGAGGCGCGAAAGCUAGGGGAGCAAACGGG
rnacentral:rRNA from 1 species